GACGAACGCUGGCGGCGUGCUUAACACAUGCAAGUCGAACGGAAAGGCCCUGCUUUUGUGGGGUGCUCGAGUGGCGAACGGGUGAGUAACACGUGAGUAACCUGCCCUUGACUUUGGUAUAACUUCAGGACACUGGGGCUAAUACCGGAUAGGAGCUCCUGCGGCAUGGUGGGGGUGGGAAAGUUUCGGCGGUUGGGGAAGGACUCGCGGCUUAUCAGCUUGUUGGUGGGGUAGUGGCUUACCAAGGCUUUGACGGGUAGCCGGCCUGAGUGGGUGACCGGCCACAUUGGGACUGAGAUACGGCCCAGCCUCCUACGGGAGGCAGCAGUGGGGAAUAUUGCACAAUGGGCGGAAGCCUGAUGCAGCAACGCCGCGUGCGGGAUGACGGCCUUCGGGUUGUAAACCGCUUUCGCCUGUGACGAAGCGUGAGUGACGGUAGUGGGUAAAGAAGCACCGGCUAACUACGUG
rnacentral:rRNA from 1 species